rnacentral:rRNA from 1 species
GAUUAGANNCCUGGUAGUCACGCCGUAAACGAUGUCAACUAGCCGUUGGGAGCCUUGAGCUCUUAGUGGCGCAGCUAACGCAUUAAGUUGACCGCCUGGGGAGUACGGCCGCAAGGUUAAAACUCAAAUGAAUUGACGGGGGCCCCACAAGCGGUGGAGCAUGUGGUUUAAUUCGAAGCAACGCGAAGAACCUUACCAGGCCUUGACAUCCAAUGAACUUUCUAGAGAUAGAUUGGUGCCUUCGGGAACAUUGAGACAGGUGCUGCAUGGCU